UCACUUCUACUUCGAUGGUUUCAGAUGCAGCUAGCUUAAAAAAAGGUUAAAAUCGAAAAUUGUUGUCUGCUAGCAGCUAACUGGGAAAAUUGAGCACUCUAACAAAGGUUGCAUGCUAAAAGUUGCUAAAAACCGUCAUUGUUUUAAACAUGGGUCCAUAAUAUGAAGCACUGUGCUAACUUACUAGCUAAAUUUAGCAAAGGUAGCUUACCAGGGAGCUAACAGAAAAUGUGGAGUUCUUUUGUAUUUGUACAGCUACAUAAACCCAACAAUCUAAAACUUUUCAUAAAUAUAGCAUAGCCUAUAGCAUGUGCUUUAGCGGUUUCAAAUGUAGCUACCUUAAAAAAAAGUAAAAAAUCGGGAAUUGUUGCCUGCUAGCGGCUAAGUGGGAACAUUGAGCAGUCAAAGGUGAUGUGGUAAAAGUUUCAUUUUCUUUUGCUAAAAACGUUCAUUGUUUUAAACAUGGGUUCAUAAUAUGAAGCACCGUGCUAACUUGCUAGCUAAAAUUUGUUGAGGUGGCUGAGCAGGUAGCCAACAGAAAAGUAUGAAGUAUUUUUGUAGCUAAAUAAGCCUAAAAAUCUUGAACACUUUGUAAAUAUAGCAUAGCCUGUAGCAUUUGCUUUAGUGGUUUCAGAUGUAGCUAGCUUAAAAAAAGGUAAAAAUCCGGAAUUGGGCUAACUGGGAACAUUGAGCAGUCAAAGGUGGUGUGGUAAAAGUUUCCUUUUUUUUGCUUUGUUUAAACCAUGGGUGCAUAAUAUUAAGCACAGUGCUAACUUGCUAGCUAAAAUUAGUAAAGGUUGCUGAGCAGGUAGCUAACAGAAAAAUGUAGACUUUUUUUUUUGCAUUUUUAGAGCUAAAUAAACCAAAAAAAUCUUGAACACUUCGUAAAUACAACACAGGCUAGCAUGCACUUCAAUGGUUUUAGAUGUAGCUAGCUUUAUAAAAUAGGUAUAUAAUUAAAAAUUGUUGUCAAAAGUGCUUAGAUACUAGCGGCUAGCUGGUAAUACUGAGCACUCUAAUAAAGGCUGUGUUUUAAAAGCUGCAUUUUAGUUAAAAAAAAAAUCAGGGGCACAUAAUGUGAAUCGCUGUGCUAAUUUGCUAGCUAUAAUGAUUUUGUCGCAGUCGAUCUUUGGUUGAAUUAAAGUUGUCACACACCUGAAUGUGUGAAAUCUGUCCUUCCCAUAUGACUCACCCCCUCAGGGAACAGAGCUGUGCGGUCACAGCUGCACAUGGGAACCGUUGGGUGGGUUAGCUCUACUUUAUGAACUCCUAAUGCUAACGGAGACAUCAUGGAGGAUACCAUGUUUUAUUUUUUAAUAUUUGUUAUGACCUGAUCCUCAGAAAGUCACAGAAACCUUAAGGAUUCCCACAAAUCCGAACAUCAGUGUUUACUCAGCAGAGAUAAACCUCCUUGUUUUGUCUUUCUAAAGUCAAACGCCGCCGGAUUUAGUCACGUUCCUCUGAUCGAGCGCUGCGGACGCAAGCAGACCUUUGACUACAGAGCGCCAGCCCGACUCUUUGAGGAAUCAAAUCUUCGUCACAAGAUCAAGCGUGAGUCAGAAGAUGGGCCGUGACGCCGGGGGAGUCGUUGAUGCCCGCUUCAUUUUGGUGCAGUCUGUUUGUUUGUUACUUACUGUGUAACUUUAUAAUAUAACAAAAAUGUGUAACUUUUUUGUUAAAUUUAUUUUAUUUUUGUAAAUUUACACCAGCGUUUAGUGUUUUUUUACCAUUAGAAAAAUCGUAUUUUGUAAGAAUAAAUGAUCAUUCCUAAUACAAAUCGACUUAUAGCUUUAAAAAAAAGUUUAAAAAAAAGUCAUUUUUAAAUCUGAUUAGCCAAAGUUAUUGAUCAGAAAAUUCUGAUCUGUUUUUUUGGUCAAAACUUUGGGAUAUUAUCUCACAAAGUUAGUAUUUCUGAUUACUUGUUGAAAGACAAAUUCCCUUUUUUAAAAAAAAAAUAAUAAAAUAAGCAAGAGUCAUCAUUGAUCCCAAAGCAGGUCGCCUCUAUUGACCCCUGUGACCCUCAUUGCGACAAAUAAGUAUAGAUAAUUGAUCAAAUGUGAAAUAUGAAUUGUACGAUAACCUCAUUUUAAGGUCAUAACUGUUUGUUUCUGAAAUUAGACCUAUUUGUAGACCAGUUGUAGAGCUUUGACCCUUUAACAUUCUUUUGACAAAGACAACUCUUCGACUGUUGAUGCAUUAAACGUGUUUUCCACGCUAUGCUAUUAUCGGAUUAUAAGACGCACCGUCAAUAAUUGGUCUAUUUUCAUACUUAUGUCAUACUUGGAGAAAUGGCGCGUUAAGCAAGACGAAAAAAUCUGAGAUAAGUCUGUCAGUCAGUCAGACUUAAUUGUGUUCACAGUAACGCUAGAACUUUUCUGUGACACGCUACACAUCAGUCAUGCUAGUUACGUUAGCUUAUUCGCAAAAAUAUCCAACUUUGUCUGCAACCCAUUAAAAAAAAUGAGUAUAGGAAAAAUAAAUGUUCCUGUGACUACGGUAGCCCCUAACCAUUUUAAUAACAAGUAAAAAAAUACAGUACAACACCGCUAGCUAUUAGCCGCAUUAGCGUCUUCCCCAAAAAUACCCAACCAUGUUUGUGAUUAGCAAAAUAAUAAAAAAACAGUGAUACCACUAGAACAAAAUAGACUGCUACAAUGCUAACUCACAGCCUUGGUGGUGGCAUAUAAAAACAUGGUUUGACAUUGCAAAGCGUUAGCUAUGCUAGAAGCAUUAGCUGUGUUAGCCUUUUCUCAAUACCAUGAACUUCCUUACUUGUUUGCCACAUGUAAACAGACAAACUAAUACAGCUAAAAUGCUAACUAGCAACCAUGGAAGUAACGCACAAAAACCCAACAGUCUCAUAUUGCUAAGCGUUAGCCACGUUAGCUGUGUUAGCAUAUUCCUAAUACACAUAGCUUCAAUAAUUGUUUGCAACACUUCAAAAGACAAACUGAUAUGGCUAAAAUGCUAACUGACAACCAUGAAAGUAACUCACCAAAAAAAAAAAA